GAGUUUGAUCCUGGCUCAGGAUGAACGUUAGCGGCGUGCCUAACACAUGCAGGUCGAACGAACAGCCAGAAUCUUAGGAAUCUGGCGGGUUAGUGGCGCACGGGUGAGUAACACGUAGGUGACCUGCCCCGAAGUGGGGGACAACCACUGGAAACAGUGGCUAAUACCGCAUGUGCUUAGCCAUUCGGUUGGUUAAGUAAAGCUGAGGCGCUUCGGGAGGGGCCUGCGGUCGAUUAGCUAGUUGGUGAGGUAAUGGCUCACCAAGGCGAUGAUCGAUAGGGGGCGUGAGAGCGUGACCCCCACACUGGGACGUGAGACACGGCCCGAGACUCCUACGGGAGGGCAGCAGUGAGGAAUAUUGCACAAUGGGCGGCAAGCCUGAUGCAGCAACG
rnacentral:rRNA from 1 species